rnacentral:rRNA from 1 species
CGUGUAGGUGGUCGGGUAAGUCAGAUGUGAAAGCCUUCUGCUUAACAGAAGAAGUGCAUUUGAAACUACUCGGCUGGAGUACGGGAGAGGAGAGUGGAAUUCCCGGUGUAGAGGUGAAAUUCGUAGAUAUCGGGAGGAACACCAGUGGCGAAGGCGGCUCUCUGGUCCGAUACUGACACUGAGACGCGAAAGCGUGGGGAGCAAACAGGAUUAGAUACCCUGGUAGUCCACGCCGUAAACGAUGGGCACUAGGUGUAGGAGGUAUUGACCCCUUCUGUGCCGAAGCUAACGCAUUAAGUGCCCCGCCUGGGGAGUCGGCCGCAAGGCUAAA